AUUAGUUGCCAGCAUUAAGUUGGGCACUCUAAUGAGACUGCCGGUGACAAACCGGAGGAAGGUGGGGAUGACGUCAARUCAUCAUGCCCCUUAUGACCUGGGCUACACACGUGCUACAAUGGACGGUACAACGAGANAGCGAACCUGCGA
rnacentral:rRNA from 1 species